rnacentral:rRNA from 1 species
UACGGAGGAUGCGAGCGUUAUCCGGAUUCAUUGGGUUUAAAGGGUGCGCAGGCGGGGAAAUAAGUCAGUGGUGAAAGCUGCCGCUUAACGGUAGUCUUGCCAAUGAUACUGUUUUUCUUGAGUAUGGUUAAGGUAGGCGGAAUGUGCAGUGUAGCGGUGAAAUGCAUAGAGAUUGCACAGAAGGCCGAUUGCGGAGGCAGCUUACUGAGCCAUAACUGACGCUGAGGCACGAAAGCGUGGGGAUCGAACAGGAUUA